rnacentral:rRNA from 1 species
UACGGGGGGGGCAAGCGUUGUUCGGAAUUACUGGGCGUAAAGGGCUGGUAGGCGGCCAACUAAGUCGGAUGUGAAAUCCCCAGGCUUAACCUGGGAACUGCAUCCGAUACUGGUCGGCUUGAAUCCGGGAGAGGGAUGCAGAAUUCCAGGUGUAGCGGUGAAAUGCGUAGAUAUCUGGAGGAAUGCCGGUGGCGAAGGCGGCAUCCUGGACCAGUACCGACGUUCAGGCACGAAAGCGUGGGGAGCAAACAGG